CAGUCGCCGCGGUAAUACGAGGGGGGCAAGCGUUGUUCGGAUUUAUUGGGCGUAAAGGGUGCGUAGGCGGUUUGGCAAGUCUUGUGUGAAAUCUUCGGGCUCAACCCGAAGCCUGCACGAGAAACUACCGGGCUUGAGUAUUGGAGAGGUGAGUGGAAUUUCCGGUGUAGCGGUGAAAUGCGUAGAUAUCGGAAGGAACACCUGUGGCGAAAGCGGCUCACUGGACAAUAACUGACGCUGAUGCACGAAAGCUAGGGGAGCAAACAGGAUUAGAUACCCGCGUAGUCCCUGUCUCUUAUAC
rnacentral:rRNA from 1 species